AUUCUACUCCCUCCAUUGCACAAUACAUGCCUUCUAUUUGUCAAAAUAUAUAUGUAUCUAGACAUGUCUUAGUAUAUAGGUACAUCCAUUUUUGGACAAAUGGAAGUCAAGUAUUUUGGAACGGAGGGAGUACACA
rfam:Triticum aestivum genome assembly, contig: Triticum_aestivum_CS42_TGACv1_scaffold_115129_2AS